rnacentral:misc_RNA from 1 species
GUGCGCCCCAUCCCCACACCAUUCCGGGCGCGAUCACCGCUGAAACCGAAUAUGGACACAUCCAGUACGCCCCUCUCCGCUUCUGCCGCUGCCUCGAGCCUUGUGUCCUCGCCAUUCGUGCCCUGCAUCGAGGACUCGGCGCAUACGCGGAGAGUCGGACGCCACCCCGUGCUGUUCCAGCGCACCCUCGACGCCGUCAGCUACCGCUACCUCACUGCAUCCUCUCGACUGGCCUGCACGGUUGCGUCCAGCAGCAGCGACAAAAAAGUGAGCUCUGUAGCGUUGCACGCAACGGCCACCGCCAACGCUGAACACGCAGCCUACGUGACGACGCUCACGGAAAACUAUCAAAAGCUGUGGCAGCAACGCAGGUUGGUGCCAAAGGCGGCACGACGAGAGUGGUUUGAAACGGUGGUGGUGCAUCUCAAGGCACUGAAUGCAUUGGGGGCUACUCUUGCCUGGCUGACGGACGCGCCCGCGACCGUCACGUCUGCCGCGCUCUCCGACCAUUAUGGCGAGAGAAAGCAGCAAAAAUCGAGGAAGCCUGCCCACGACCCACUCCCGCUGUGGUGCCUCUGGCAGGACGCUCAGCGUCACCUGCACCACAUGUCACUGCGUCUGCGUCCGCGGACCCCGGCCGCCGGUGUCGCGUACGGGACGCGUGAGGCGAUGCGGAUGUCUGACCUGGUGCGCAUGGACAGCUCCGCCUUCGCCUGGCGGGUGCGCCAGUGGUGUCGCAUAGCAGCGCUUUUCCACAGCCCCCGUUGCGCAGAUACGGAGGCAGCAUCAUCACUGGUAGACGUUGCUGAGGCGGUUCAUCCCGGCAUGAUCGCAGAUGUGGUAUGCCGUGUGGGUCCCGGCGGCAGCAGCUCAAUGUCAGCCGCGUUGCCGUUUCCAGACUCGUUUUCGGCGGAAGAGCCGGAGGUGGCGCAUAUGCUGCUCCUCUGCCUCGGCGCCACAUCCGAGACCGCUGCCGAGAACUGUCUGGCCCGCCAGUACGUGGCCGGGGCUUUGGUGUACCGCAUGUUGCUUGAGGUGACGCUAGGCCGCCUUCGUGCGCUGCCGCGGUGCAUCUUCACGUGGCGUCUCUUGCGGGAUGUUGUCCGUGACCAUCUCGUAACGUCGGCGGCUGGUUUCCUUGAUACCGACAACGAGCAAAGGGCAGUGCUGCUGGAGAUGGCAGCCUAUGUGGAGGUGGUGGUCAUCCCGUACCUCCAGCACCGUGACUGCCACCUGGAAAGUCUGCGGCACACUGCAGCGCAGGUGCAUGCUCAGUUCACGCGUCUCGCCUCUGCCAAACUCGAGCAGCUCCGCGCAGCCGUCGCGCGUGCCGGUGCGGGGGACGGCGACCAGACGGAAACUGUCGCGCAGUCAAAAACAGGGACAGCAGACGCGGUAGUGGGUGACCUGACUGCGGCAACAGUCCCGGCGGCUGAGGCUAGCGCGGAGGUCAACAAGGAGGAGCAGGGACGCCUCCCUGAAGCGCAGCGCCACCGCAUGGCAGCAUCGAUGGAGCCCCUCCUCCGUAGCGCGUGUGCGGGCGGUGCCCCGGCGUUCGCGAAAACGACAGCGCAGCCGCUUUCCGUCUCUCACACAGAAAGCAAGUCGGCGGUGCAGGGCGCGAAGGACGUCAUUGCCAGUAUUAUUCUCGGAAACACGGCCACCUCUGACAGAGCUGAGCGUGAUGAGACUGGUGGUGGACACCAGGGCGACGCGCCCACGGCGCCGUCGGGGUCGUGGGAGGACGCGCUGUUAUCGAUGCAGCAUGACUUUCAUGGAAAGCGCGUGGAUGAUAGUGUCCUGCACUCCUCCGCGGCGCGGAUUUCUCAGCUGCGGUUCUUCCUGUACCACUACUUCACCCAGAGUCCGACGCUGGCUUUCGAUCGCGUCUCCGACACCGCCGCUGCCCCCGCACACGCGGAAGCCGCAAAGGAAGGAGAGGCUUAAUGAAAGAGGGGGUAUCGCCCCCCUCCCCCCCCCUUCAUGGAGAGGGAAGAGAGACGCGCUCGUGCACGCGGCAAGAGCUGCGUCGGUGUGUUCACAGAACCGCGUGGUUGUGAGCAUCCCCCUGAGUGGGAGAUAAACAGC